rnacentral:rRNA from 1 species
UACGUGAGGGGGCAAGCGUUGUCCGGAAUCAUUGGGCGUAAAGAGCGUGUAGCGGCCCGAUAAGUCCGCCGUGAAAGCCCAGGGCUCAACCCUGGGAUGCCGGUGGAUACUGGUCGGGCUAGAAUCCGGAAGAGGCGAGUGGAAUUCCUGGUGUAGCGGUGAAAUGCGCAGAUAUCAGGAGGAACACCGAUGGCGAAGGCAGCUCGCUGGGACGGUAUUGACGCUGAGACGCGGAAAGCGUGGGGAGCAAACAGG